CUAAUACAUGCAAGUAGAACGNCUGAAGGAGGAGCUUGCUCUUCUGGAUGAGUUGCGAACGGGUGAGUAACGCGUAGGUAACCUGCCUGGUAGCGGGGGAUAACUAUUGGAAACGAUAGCUAAUACCGCAUAAAAACGGUUGUUGCAUGACAACUGUUUGAAAGGUGCAAUUGCAUCACUACCAGAUGGACCUGCGUUGUAUUAGCUAGUUGGUGGGGUAACGGCUCACCAAGGCGACGAUACAUAGCCGACCUGAGAGGGUGAUCGGCCACACUGGGACUGAGACACGGCCCAGACUCCUACGGGAGGCAGCAGUAGGGAAUCUUCGGCAAUGGACGGAAGUCUGACCGAGCAACGCCGCGUGAGUGAAGAAGGUUUUCGGAUCGUAAAGCUCUGUUGUAAGAGAAGAACGAGUGUGAGAGUGGAAAGUUCACACUGUGACGGUAUCUUACCAGAAAGGGACGGCUAACUACGUGCCAGCAGCCGCGGUAAUACGUAGGUCCCGAGCGUUGUCCGGAUUUAUUGGGCGUAAAGCGAGCGCAGGCGGUUAGAUAAGUCUGAAGUUAAAGGCUGUGGCUUAACCAUAGUACGCUUUGGAAACUGUUUAACUUGAGUGCAAGAGGGGAGAGUGGAAUUCCAUGUGUAGCGGUGAAAUGCGUAGAUAUAU
rnacentral:rRNA from 1 species